CGUGAGUAAAGCUCAACAGAGCUCGGACAGCGUAGAGCAAUUAUGAAGUCACUCAUUCCCUUUUUCCUUCUUCUGGUACUUUGUGGGAUGGCUGAAGUGCUAUCAAGCCAAAGAACCUUAAUAAAUAAAAAUAUGACCUGGGAGGAAGCUCUACGGUAUUGCAGGCAGAAUUACAUUACCCUGGGCUAUCCGAUAACACCAAACCAACCAAGCACAUUUGAUACGGAUACAGCUCAAACGCAAACCGUCAGUGUAUGGACGGGCCUGCGCUUCCUGGAUGGAAAAUGGUUCUGGGUGGACGUCGAUCACCUGGAGAUCCCGUUUUCAAUGCCCUCAUGUCCAAUCCAAAACUACCGCUGUGGAGCUCGCAACAACAAGACACAAGUCUGGGAGAACGUAGACUGCGAUGAGAAGCUUAAUUUCCUCUGCUCAGUAAGCGUCUAGGACAGCAUCCUUCCAGAAGAAUUUUUACAAGACACAGAACUAUUUAUUCAGAGCUACUGUAGAUCUGUUGUAUCUUUCUGUAGUAGCUUUCUUUAUUCAUUUUUAAAUAUAGUUUGUUCUUGUAAUUAAGAAAAUACACAAAUUAGUCAUUGCUAUAAUAGUGAAUGGGAAAAAUAGAACUCUGCUUCAUUGCAUUUUGCUCCUUCCAUUGAAUAUGCAUAUGUAAAACAUCCAUCUAUCCAUCCAUCCAUCUAUCCAUCUAUAUAGCAAAGAUGCCUUCAAAAUAAUGAAAUGAAAUGUUUAAAGUAAAUUAAAUUAAAUGUUACAGUUAAAAAAAAAAAACCUUAUAGAGCAGUAAACAGUAGUAAAUGAAACACAGUCAAUAUUUGGUGUGACAAAAAAAGUAAAAAAUUUAAAUGUAAAUAGUAGUCUCCGGUACAGUUAGUGCAGUUUUAUAAAGAAAUGAGCUGUAAGUGUUACUGAGCACGUUGCAGAACCAGACACGGUUCUUCUGGAGACUUUGACUGUCGCACUCGCUUCUUAUUUCUGCAGCGAAACCCAGCAGCCUUCAUUAUGGUUUUGUCUGAAAAGUGUCUCUUAACUCUUAAUACGCUGCUUUCUUUAAUGACAUACGCACAUUUUCCCGUAACAUUUAAUUUUGUGCUGGAAAAAUAAUGUUUGGGAAUCUAAAAUGUUUGUAUACUGACUCAGUAAAGUAGACGUCAUAAAAUAAAAAAUGUAUAAUAAAGUUUGUACUAAAAAAAAUUGUGUGCCUAAAAGUUUUGCACAGUACUAUAUAUAUAUAUAUAUAUAUAUAACCAUGUAUAAUUUUGUGGCAGUUGAGGUUGAUAUUAGGAAUAUUAGAAAAAAGGGUAUAUUUGAACAUCAGAUGGUGCUCCCUAAUUAAACCAUCAGCUUUAACACAGUUCUUCACAAAGCUAUGACUCAGUCAACACCAUCAUUAACACAGCAAUGAGGUUUUAAAGUCAUUUUAGAGACAUGGCUCAAUAAGUUGUAUCAGAUUUCCCAUAUUCUAUAGUCACAGUGUUUUAGCCAUAAAAAUCUAAUUUUAUAGACAUAAUUUAAUGACAAUCAUUUCCUUUUUGAAUAAUAAUGUAUUAAUUGAAAUUACUGCUGCCCACAUGUGUAAGUUUUAUUCAUGGAAUAAUGCUAUUAAAAUGAUGUGUACUACAUUUGUUACGAUGGGCUGCAGGAUAUAUUGCCAUUUUCUGUGUUUAAUUUAUUAUUAGAUAAUCACAUUUAGAUGAAAAUAAUUGUUGAGCCCCAAAUGUAUACUAAAUAAAUGGAUAUGCUAAAUUAUUUCCGUUGCAAAUAAAUGAAUAGGAUUCACAUCUUUAUUGAGUACUGGAAAGAGCACAUAUAAUAGUGACAGAAGAGCCAAUGAAAUGAUAAUGUUCUUAAUAAUUACAUUGUGGUUCUCUCUCUCUCUCUCUCUCUCUCUCUCUCUCUCUCUCUCUCUCUCUCUCUCUCUCUCUCUCUCUUUGAAAAAGUUUAAUAAAGUAUUCUGAGACUUUAUGGCCUUUAUCCUUCAAAUUCCAUAAAGUGGCUUUGUG